UAGGGAAUCUUCGGCAAUGGACGAAAGUCUGACCGAGCAACGCCGCGUGCGGGAAGAAGGUUUUCGGAUCGUAAAACUCUGUUGUUAGAGAAGAACAAGGACGCUGGUAACUGAACGUCCCCUGACGGUAUCUAACCAGAAAGCCACGGCUAACUACGUGCCAGCAGCCGCGGUAAUACGUAGGUGGCAAGCGUUGUCCGGAUUUAUUGGGCGUAAAGCGAGCGGAGGCGGUUUCUUAAGUCUGAUGUGAAAGCCCCCGGCUCAACCGGGGAGGGUCAUUGGAAACUGGGAGACUUGAGUGCAGAAGAGGAGAGUGGAAUUCCAGGUGUAGCGGUGAAAUGCGUAGAUAUAUGGAGGAACACCAGUGGCGAAGGCGGCUCUCUGGUCUGUAACUGACGCUGAGGCUCGAAAGCGUGGGGAGCAAACAGG
rnacentral:rRNA from 1 species